AGACGAUCGGGCAGUCGCCGCUAUUGAAUUAAUCGAUAGGGGAGGAAAGUCCGGGCUCCAAAGGGCAGGGUGCCAGAUAACGUCUGGGUAGCGAAAGCUAACAGCCAGUGCAGCAGAGAGUAUACCGCCGAUGGCCAAUCUUGUAUUGGAACAGGUAAGGGUGAAAGGGUGCGGUAAGAGCGCACCGCGCGGCUAGUAAUGGUUCGUGGCAUGGUAAACCUCACUCGGAGCAAGACCAAAUAGGUUCCUAUUGGCGCGGCCCGCGUUGGGAACGGGUAGGUUGCUUGAGCCUUAGAGUGAUUUAAGGCCUAGAUGAAUGAUUGCCGCCUUUCGAGGUGACAGAACCCGGCUUAUAGAUCGUCUCUU
rnacentral:RNase_P_RNA from 1 species